CAGCAUCUUACUGGGCAGCAUUGGAUGAUCCAUGCCGCUCUAAUACUGCCUGGUAAUGAUGAUGAA
ncrna:Taeniopygia guttata (zebra finch) microRNA tgu-mir-200b precursor